rnacentral:lncRNA from 1 species
CAGACCUCAUCGCCUCCGCCGGAACCGCCUGCCGGAAAUCGUCUCCGUCGGCGGCGGUACUCCAGUCGACCCCAAAUUAACGCCAUAUACUCCCCUCCUUCUCCUCUUCCCGAAUCUCCAAAAUCCCUCCUUCGAAUCCUAAUAGAACUCUUCGAAUCUUGAAUUGAAGAGGAGGACCAAAACUUCAACUCACCCAAUCGUCCCCAAAAUAACACCCCUGGACCCUCGUCUCACCCUCAUCCCAGAAAUCCAUUCUGUUUCCCUCGAAUAUUAGUGAAGCUAGUCGAAUAUGGAUUUGAAUGAGCAACCCUAAAAGUCCAGAGGUCAGAAUCAGCGGGGUUUAGAAGGUUUUAGGCCUAAAUCGAUGUUACUCGUGUGUUCUUGAUAAUAAGAACAUACGAUUAACUUUGGAUUGGGCCGGAAUUGAUGAGUUGAAGGCUAUCCCUUAGGCCUUUUGUCCGGGUCCUUUUGGGUAUGUUUCUUUUCUUCAGUUCUUCUCCUCCUCUACUUCUUCGUUUAUUCUAUUAUUUGUUGUCCGGAUUAGGUCUUUUGUGUUCGUUUAUGAGUUGUUUAUUAUGCAUGUUAUUUUAAAAUGUUAGCUCACUUAGCUUGAUUAGUUAGGUUAAUUUUCUCCGGUAAUCUCUUUAAUCUUAGUCCAGUACUUGAUUUCUGUUGCUCAGACUCAUCUCUGUUAUGGGCAUUUGUUUCAUUCAAUUCGACUUGGGUUGGGUUUGUGUUUAUGCCUUUGAUCUUUUGGUUUACUGGUUUGGGCCGAAUCUGAAUAAAUUCAAUUGGGUCGAAUCGACCCAUGUUCUGUCCGGUUCGUUCAGGUAAUAACAAGGUUAUUAAGGGGUAAUUUGGGUAGUCUAGGCUUGGGAAUCUUGUAAAACUGAACUAGGAAGCUUCCUAGAAGCUGGGGGUGGGGGGGGGGGGGGGGGCCUAUUUUGAAAUUCUGAGGUUUAUAUUGAGGACUCCUAAGCAAAAAUGAAAAUUUCAGAAGGUUUAAAGUGCAAUUUGAACUCUUUAAGGCUGCCCUAGUAGCUUGCCUAUAAAGUCAUUGUUACUUAGAGCUCAAGUCAGAUUUUGAGAGCUGGAAAUCCAGAAAAUACAGAAGCUGCAUAAAUUCACCACUUUCAUAAACCCAAGAGCUGAAUAGAUAAAAAUUCUGGAAAAAAGCACAAACGGCUGAAAAUUUACUGUUCCAUUGGGUUUUCUUCUAUAAUUUGGAGGUUUUCAACUUCUGAACCAAUUCUUGAUUCGCUUGGGGUGGAAAUGGAUUGAACUCAGUUCUUAUUUGAAAGUUUCAGUUGGUUCUGGUUGUUUGGUUUGGUUCGUUGCAUCCUAUGAUAAUUUAGAAUUUCUGGCAAAACUGUUGAACUUGUACAUCUGAGUAGAAAAAUGGUUUAAGCUUGUUUUGAAUCAGUUUUCUGAAGAUCCCUUCCUGUUCCAUUGGUUUAUCCUAGGCUGCUCACUAUUCGAUUGACCAAAUUUGAGCUAACUGCUGCUGCUCAUUGCUGAUUUCUCACUUUCUGUUUUCUUUUUGCUUCCCAGGUAUUUCUCUAUCUUUGAGCAACAAGCGAAUAUCGACUAUGUGAUUCAAGUGAAAUCUGAUGAAAUGUAGUCCAUAUUUACUUAGUUUCCUUUUUGUUUCUCCUAUUGCUUUCCAUGUUCUGUAGUUAGAAUUUAAAUUGCAAGUGUCAGUUUAAGCUUUCACUUUUGCUGUUUGCAUACCCUGAAUCUGUAAGCAAACCUGUGCUUGUAAUGAGCUUUGGACCCUAGUUUUAAACAAGUUUGAGUGUGUCGAGUAAAGGAGCUGUUAGAACUUUGCAACAAAGGUUUAAUCUAAUGUUUUGGGUUGAAGAUUUUGUUCAGUUUAUGCUUAAGAUCAUUCAUGUUCUAGCUUUGGCUGUUAUUUGAAUUCAUUGAAAAGG